rnacentral:rRNA from 1 species
AUGUCUUCCAUGGGAGAGUUGAAGUUCUUUCUCGGUUUCCAAGUAAAGCAAAGAAGAGAAGGAACCUUCAUCAACCAAGCCAAAUACACUCAAGACAUGCUCAAGAGAUUCAAGCUAAGUGAUGUCAAGUCGGCGUCCACUCCAAUGCCCACCAAGUGCCAACUUGACAUCGAUCCCAAUGGUAAAGCGGUGGAUCAAAAGGUAUAUCGCUCCAUGAUUGGUUCCUUGCUUUACCUUUGUGCAUCUAGACCGGAUAUCAUGUUGAGUGUGGGAAUUUGUGCACGGUUUCAAGCCGCACCUAAGGAAAGCCACUUUGUGGCGGUCAAGCGAAUCUUUCGAUAUUUGGCUCAUACCCCAAACUUUGGCUUAUGGUACCCAAGAGGAGCAAACUUCAAGCUUGUAGGGUAUUCGGACUCCGAUUGGGCGGGAGACAAAGUGGAUAGGAAGUCCACUUCCGGAGGGUGCCAAUUCCUUGGUUGCUCUUUGGUAAGUUGGUCUUCUAAAAAGCAAAGUUGUGUGUCUCUCUCGUCAACCGAAGCGGAGUAUGUGGCGGCCGGCAGUUGUUGUGCACAACUCUUAUCGAUGAGGCAAACAUUAAAGGAUUACGGUGUCAUUUGUGAUAAAGUGCCUCUUUGGUGUGAUAAUGAAAGUGCCAUCAAGAUUUCUCUCAACCCCGUGUAA